UACGGGGGGGCAAGCGUUGUUCGGAAUUACUGGGCGUAAAGGGCUCGUAGGUGGCCAACUAAGUCAGACGUGAAAUCCCUCGGCUUAACCGGGGAACUGCGUCUGAUACUGGAUGGCUUGAGUUUGGGAGAGGGACGCGGAAUUCCAGGUGUAGCGGUGAAAUGCGUAGAUAUCUGGAGGAAUACCGGUGGCGAAGGCGGCAUCCUGGACCGGCAUUGACGCUGAGGAGCGAAAGCUAGGGGAGCAAACGGGG
rnacentral:rRNA from 1 species